UAUGGUCAAACUUGUUGGCAGAGUAGCUGUGUGUACACGAUAUGGUCAAACUUGUUGGACCAUAUCGUGUACACACAGCUACUCUGCCAACAAGUUUGACCAUAU
rnacentral:pre_miRNA from 1 species